ensembl:snoRNA
UGUGUGUGUGUGUGUGUUUAUUCAACUGAAGGACAAAGACAUGAAACACAGGUGCAAAAAUUAGAUCCUCUUUUGCAACCUAGAACUCAUUGUUCAGUAUGAGUUUUGAUACAAAGAAGAAGGAAUAUA